UACGUAGGGUCCGAGCGUUGUCCGGAAUUACUGGGCGUAAAGAGCUCGUAGGUGGUUUGUCGCGUUGUUCGUGAAAACUCACAACUCAAUUGUGGGCGUGCGGGCGAUACGGGCAGACUAGAGUACUGCAGGGGAGACUGGAACUCCUGGUGUAGCGGUGGAAUGCGCAGAUAUCAGGAGGAACACCGGUGGCGAAGGCGGGUCUCUGGGCAGUAACUGACGCUGAGGAGCGAAAGCGUGGGGAGCGAACAGG
rnacentral:rRNA from 1 species